rnacentral:rRNA from 1 species
UACGAAGGGUGCAAGCGUUGUUCGGAAUUAUUGGGCGUAAAGCGCACGUAGGCGGAUUGUUAAGUCAGGGGUGAAAUCCUGGAGCUCAACUCCAGAACUGCCUUUGAUACUGGCGAUCUCGAGUCCGGGAGAGGUGAGUGGAACUGCGAGUGUAGAGGUGAAAUUCGUAGAUAUUCGCAAGAACACCAGUGGCGAAGGCGGCUCACUGGCCCGGUACUGACGCUGAGGUGCGAAAGCGUGGGGAGCAAACAGG